ensembl:lncRNA novel transcript
AAUGGCUGAAACAAUCUGCUACCCGAAGCCCCAAAGGCUCUGAUUACCGGUCGCCGCUCACCUGCUGGGGCGCGAGGUGCAGAGACUGUACCGACCGAGGACCCAGAGGCUGUCACCACGGAGGGGAAGUCCUCAGCUGCACAGGUUGGGGGGGGGGGGGGGGGCGGGCCCAACCAGUCACAUGACGUCGAGCUCCGCCCUGCCUCCUCCAUCCCAGCGCUCUACAUCUCGGGGGGCCUGAAUUUUUACGGAUCCCUUGAAUAUUAAUUUUCUUGGAUUAAAGAAAUAAAAGAUAAAUUUUCA